rnacentral:rRNA from 1 species
UGGGUAAUCUUUGAACGUGAAUCGUGAUGGGGAUAGAUGAUUGCAAUUAUUCAUCUUCAACGAGGAAUUCCUAGUAAACGCAAGUCGUCAGCUUGCAUUGAUUACGUCCCUGCCCUUUGUACACACCGCCCGUCGCACCUACCGAUUGAAUGGUCCGGUGAAAUCUUCGGAUCCGAGAGAUGUCUGAUUAAUUUCGGACGCCUUUUGGAAAAGUUGCUUAAACCUUACCAUUUAGAGGAAGGUGAAGUCGUAACAAGGUUUCCGUAGGUGAACCUGCGGAAGGAUCAUUA